AGAACGAACGCUGGCGGCAUGCCUAAUACAUGCAAGUCGAACGAACUCUUCGGAGUUAGUGGCGCACGGGUGCGUAACGCGUGGGAAUCUGCCCCUUGGUUCGGAAUAACAGUUGGAAACGACUGCUAAUACCGGAUGAUGACGAAAGUCCAAAGAUUUAUCGCCAAGGGAUGAGCCCGCGUAGGAUUAGCUAGUUGGUGAGGUAAAGGCUCACCAAGGCAACGAUCCUUAGCUGGUCUGAGAGGAUGAUCAGCCACACUGGGACUGAGACACGGCCCAGACUCCUACGGGAGGCAGCAGUGGGGGAAUAUUGGACAAUGGGCGAAAGCCUGAUCCAGCAAUGCCGCGUGAGUGAUGGAAGGCCUUAGGUUGUAAAGCUCUUUUACCCGAGAUGAUAAUGACAGUAUCGGGAGAAUAACGUCCCCGCUAACCUCCGUAGCCAGCAGCCGC
rnacentral:rRNA from 1 species